CCGGGWWAUGCCCUUAGUAGCGGCGAGUGAAGCGGCAAAGCUCAAAUUUGAAAUCUGGUACUUUCAGUGCCCGAGUUGUAAUUUGAAGAAGGUAUCUUUGGGUCUGGCGCUUGUCUAUGUUUCUUGGAACAGAACGUCACASAGGGUGAGAAUCCCGUGCGAUGAGAUGAUCCAGGCCUAUGUAAAGUUCCUUCGACGAGUCGAGUUGUUUGGUAAUGCAGCUCUUCAUGGGUGGUAAAUUCCAUCUUAAGCCAAAUAUUGRCGAGAGAUCGACACCGAACAAGUACAGUGAUGGAAAGAUGAAAAGAACUUUGAAAAGAGAGUGAAAAAGUAGCUGUCAUUGUCGACAGGRCACGGCUUGAGAUCUUACUUGRKAUUUUGUAUGUUACUUCUUCGGGGGUGGCCUCUACWCUGUAACGUUCUGUUCCCAGUUUGGACGGUAGCACCAUUGCCGWGGAAAGCGUCWUCRCAUCACUUGUGUGGCACUGCCACUGCCRRAACUGCMAUUUGAGCUUUUGCCGCUUCAYUUAUMSCUACKRAGGUGAUCCCUGUUGSUUUCUUUUCCCCCGCUUGWAGAWAUGCCCCA
rnacentral:rRNA from 1 species